rnacentral:rRNA from 1 species
GUGGAUUAGAUACCCUAGUAGUCCACGCCGUAAACGAUGAGUGCUAGAUGUAGGGAGCUAUAAGUUCUCUGUAUCGCAGCUAACGCAAUAAGCACUCCGCCUGGGGAGUACGACCGCAAGGUUGAAACUCAAAGGAAUUGACGGGGGCCCGCACAAGCGGUGGAGCAUGUGGUUUAAUUCGAAGCAACGCGAAGAACCUUACCAGGUCUUGACAUACUCGUGCUAUUCCUAGAGAUAGGAAGUUCCUUCGGGACACGGGAUACAGGUGGUGCACGGCCGUCGACAGCU